GAGGUGUGACGUAAUGUAACGCACCUGAACAAGGUGGGCCAUUUAACCUGCCUGUUUUUUUCCUUUCCGCUGUCUCACUGCUCGUCGUGCCAGCUAAAGGAUUUUGCCCUUCAAUUUAUCAACUGUCUGUCUCAAGCAUGGACUUUCUGGACUGUCAGUUUUGGACAUGAAAGUUUCCCAAAGAAGGAUUUAUUCUUCAUGGAGAGAACCGGAAAUACUUCACGGAGCUUCUGCUAAACCUUCCAACUUGGCUGUCAAUCCAACAUGGACUCUGGUGUGCCCUGUCAGAAGCUGAGGAAGAGGAACACUUCAGAUACAGCUCCAAAGAGAAAGAUGAGGAUGACCCAGGAUUGAUGCAAGGAAUGGGGAAAAAUAAAGUUGAUGCUGAGGAAGUCCCACUGAGAUCAAGAUUUCUCUUUCAAGGGAGAUCUGGCCAAGAUACAAAACAUUCAUUCACAAGAUAAAAACAAUGGACUCAAGAAAAACAGCCUGAUCUGAGUUCACCUCAACCCUGCACACCACCGUCCAUGCUAUGCCUCUCAACCUCAUCUUGAACCAAGACUCCUAGUCACCUUACAAGCUACAAGACAUGGCUGUCUGUCACCUCUCCCUCUCCACUGCGGCAGGUGAACUCUGAGUAAGGGUCACGUAAAAUGAUUGAUCCCUCAUCUCCUAUUUCAGUAAAGAGAGGAGUAAACCUGUUGCACCUGGGGGAUAGAGUGCGUCUCUGGAUGCACACAGGUUCUAUAAACUUUAGACAAGCAUCUCAGAGCAGCACAAACAAGACAUAACUCAAAGUGAAGGUGUGAUAAGGGCUUUUGGAAGUAGUUGCUGAGCAGAAAUGUCUACUGUAAAAUUGGGGUCAGGUCACAAACACAAGUCCCAAAAAGAUUAUAAAAAAAAGUCAGGCUUUUUGAUAGUUGAAGGCUUUUUGAUGAUCUCUAGAGAAAACUCUGAGAUUGGACUGAGCCAUCUUUUUUAUUUCUCUUUGUUUCACCUGUACUCAUACUCACUCUCUUUAGAUGGAGUAUUUCUUAAUUACCUUCUUAUUCCUUAAUGGAUGUUUGUUUGUUACUUGGUUGAUUGCUUGGUGAUGAUUUGAACAACAUAAUGUGACAAUGUAAUGUUUAUUACACACUGAUUGGUUUACAUUGUAUUCCAAAUUAAUGUAAGCAUUGAGUAACAUCUUGAUUGUGUCUCUGACUGAAAUGUAGGUUAAUCAUUCUCAUCAUUUAUAUAUUACCUUUUAAACAUAGUUGAUUUUUUUUACUUUAUUAUUUUUGAUAUGAUCUUAUUAAAUUAUUAUAUAGCUUGGUUAUGAUUGAUUGGGAAUUCCUUAAAAAUUGCUGAUUGGUUGCUGAUGAUGACUGGUUCAUAUGUUGUAUAUUGAUUGAUUGCGGUUUCACCCUUAUUUGAAUAGGAAUAUUAAUUGAUUGUUAUAAUUUAAGAAUUUAUUUAGUUAGUAUAUUUUUUUGGUUAAUUGUUUUGAUUGGCUGUUAUUGAUUGGUGAGUUUUGUCUCAAUUAAUUGGUUAUUCAGGUCAUGGAUGAUUUCUUAUGCAGUCCAGUAGUAAGAGCCUCAAGAGGCAAGAAUCUAAACUUGCCAAACCUGACAUCUGUCUCUCUCUCUCUCUGUCUCUCUCUCUCUCUGUCUCUCUCUCUCUCUCUCUCUGUGCUGGCCACACAUGUGACUCAAGUGCGUGAGAUAUUGUAUAUGGAUUCACAGACAUUGGGCUGGUUUGGAUGACCAAGUUGUCUUCUUUCAACAUUGUCUAUAAAGUGUGAAAUGUGGUUUGUGCCUAAUGCUUUACACAAAGUGUUGUCAUUUGUGCAUGUCAGUACAUGUGCUUCUGAAUAAAUGAACAUGUGUAUGGGGUGGUCAAACUGUGCCUGCCAAUUGUUUCUGGCAUGCAGAUGCCCAGUUGAUUUGUUCUUGUCUGUUUUUUUAUACUUGCUUGUGUUUGUGUGGUUUCAAAGAUAUAGAAGAAGAAGAAUACACACAGUCCUGGGGGCAGUACUUUAUUACUUUAGUUUCAUUGUGCAGCAUAAACAGUUUGACAGCUUUAUUCCAGUUUACUUGGCUCCUGUUGUCUAUAUCUUAUGUUAAAAUGCAGGUGGGAUCAUUGAUUGUUCGCUUGCUAUUUGGCAUGUUUAUCUUUUUUACUUGCAGUAUAGGACAGCUUGGGAAGCUUUUUAAAUAAAAAAAAUGUAGAGGAGUUAAUGUUAUUGAUGGAUAGUGUUACUGACCAGCCUAAUUGGCCUGAAAAUAACAAUAUAUGGCAUGUCUAAGUAAUACAUGAGAUGAAUACAGUAUGUGUAAAAGCUGAACAAAAACACGCCUUUUAAAUGCAAAGUGCACUGUAUACAGGUAUGGAAGCUACAUUUGAAACAAUUUGC